UCGCUGCCGUUGCUUUUGCUGUCGCAGUUACAGUUCGUCCUGGGCCAGCUUUAGGAUUUGUCGACGUCGCUGGCACUUGGCGCAGUUUUCGCGAUUUGUCUGCGGCUUUGCACGGACGUCGCCAGCGUCAACGUCAGCGUCGCGGGUCGUGGACGACGUUGCCGUUACUUUAACCGUUUCAUCUUGUUGUUGUUACGUUUUUGGCUUUUUGUUUUUGUUUUUUUUCUUCUGUUUUUUGUUUGUUUUGUAUUUCGGCUGUGGUUUUGUUUGAUUGUUUUAGUUUAGUUAGGCGAAUCAAACGAAAUUUUAGCACAUUUACCGUUAUAAUAACGUGCUUCCUUGUCGAUAGAGGUCUGUUAUUGUGUGUGUGCGUGUGUGUGUCGUGCGUUUUUUUUUCUGCUCUUGUCGGUGUGUUUGGGCUGUGUUUUUUUUUGCCAUCAGUUUUCGCGAUUUUUCGUCGUCUGCGUCGCGUGCAGCAAAGUUCCAUUAAAAUAACAAAUAUAAAAGUUAUUAACGUUUUGUAGACACGCAACAUCAACUCGUUUCUGUUCUAGUGGAGGCAUAUAUAGAGGUAUACA